rnacentral:rRNA from 1 species
UACAGAGGUCCCAAGCGUUGUUCGGAUUCCCUGGGCGUAAAGCGUGCGCAGGCGGCUUCGCAAGUCAGACGUGAAAUCCCCGGGCUUAACUUGGGAAUGGCGUUUGAAACUACGGAGCUGGAGUGUGGCAGAGGGAGGUAGAAUUCCACGUGUAGCGGUGAGAUGCGUAGAUAUGUGGAGGAAUACCGAUGGCGAAGGCAGCCUCCUGGGCCAACACUGACGCUCAUGCACGAAAGCGUGGGGAGCAAACAGG